rnacentral:rRNA from 2 species
GAAUUUUAUAUAUUUUUAUUUAAUAAAAUUUAUAUUGAAAUAAAUAAGAAGAUAUUUUAUUGGGAGGAUAGUUAAAUAUUAAAAACUUUAAUUAAAAUUAAAAUAUAAAUUAAUAAAUUUAAGAAUGGUUAAAUAAAUUAAUUAAGAAUUAAUUACCUUAGGGAUAACAGCGUAAUAUUUUUGGAGAGUUCAUAUUAAUAAAAAUGUUUGC